UACAGAGGAUGCAAGCGUUAUCCGGAAUGAUUGGGCGUAAAGCGUCUGUAGGUGGCUUUUUAAGUCCGCCGUCAAAUCCCAGGGCUCAACUCUGGACAGGCGGUGGAAACUACCAAGCUUGAGUACGGUAGGGGCAGAGGGAAUUUCCGGUGGAGCGGUGAAAUGCGUAGAGAGUCCGGAAGAACACCGGUGGCGAAGGCGGUCUGCUGGGGUAAUGCUGACACUGAUGCGCGACAGCGUGGGGAGCAAACAGG
rnacentral:rRNA from 1 species